rnacentral:rRNA from 1 species
UACGUAGGGACCGAGCGUUGUCCGGAAUCAUUGGGCGUAAAGAGCGUGUAGGCGGCUAUUUAAGUCCUGCGUGAAAUCCUGCGGCUCAACCGCAGACGGUCGUGGGAAACUGGAUGGCUAGAGUGCGGGAGAGGAGAGUGGAAUUCCCGGUGUAGCGGUGAAAUGCGCAGAUAUCAGGAGGAACACCGAUGGCGAAGGCAGGUCUCUGGGCCGAUACUGACGCUGAGGAGCGAAAGCGUGGGGAGCGAACAGG